UACGAAGGGGGCUAGCGUUGCUCGGAAUCACUGGGCGUAAAGCGCACGUAGGCGGCUCUUUAAGUCAGGGGUGAAAUCCUGGAGCUCAACUCCAGAACUGCCUUUGAUACUGGGGAUCUCGAGUCCGGAAGAGGUGAGUGGAACUCCGAGUGUAGAGGUGAAAUUCGUAGAUAUUCGGAAGAACACCAGUGGCGAAGGCGGCGACCUGGUCCGUGACUGACGCUGAGGCGCGAAAGCGUGGGGAGCAAACAGG
rnacentral:rRNA from 1 species